rnacentral:lncRNA from 7 species
CAUGGCUUCCUAUUGUGUCUUUAUCCAGCAACGCUCACCUUCAACAGCAGAGACACCCCAAAGUGAUGCAGCCGUACCAGCAACGGGGAACUCAUCCCUGGUGAUACCAGGAGAAAUCCCAACUCAUCUCCAGGACACUGAAGCAGAGUGUAGGAGCCUGUAGGCCUCCACUGGGGUUGCUUUGGGAGAGGCUGACCCAGCUGGACUGCAGUGGUAGGGACUGCAGCAAAGAGCCUGAGCAACAUUCAAGGAAUGUGCUAUACAUGGACUCCUAAUGGAAUUAGAGUAUCUGCAUCCUGCCCACAUGGACUAAAGCAUUGGAUCGGGGCCUAUCAUUGCAGAAAGCUGAUGAGUUGACUGGCAUCAGAGACUGUCCAAACCAAGGAGUCAGAUGGAAAGGACCACGAGGGAAAUUGGGCUGCAUACCCAAGAGAAGGCUUUGAAACAAUGCAAUCCCAUUUUCACAACGUCCAGCAUGGAGAUGUGAUGUCCAAAUCUCCAGUACCACUGUGCUUGCACAGGCAGAGCCUUGCCAGCUUUUCAGUCAGGCUGAGGCUGAAUUUGCCACAAGAGCAAGUCCUAGGAUGUGCAUUCAAGACGAGGAACAGGACCUUGUCCCACAGAGAACUUUUCCACCAAGCAAGCCCAGGGUGUCAGACUAGGAGCCUGUUUCUGUUUUCUGCAUUACAUUCAGCUCAAUCAAUCAUUCAAUGGCUUCCAUCCUUAUUUUUCCUCUGUCCUUUCCAGUCAGACUUUGUUCUCUUCAGACUGGUGGUGGGUUUGUGCCUGGUACAGAGGGUGCUCACCUGAGCCAGGGACAUGAUGGUUGCUGUCAUGCUAAUCAUAAUUUUCCUCAGAAAGGAAAUAGCAAAUGCCUUUGUGUCUUGUUCUCCUGCCCUUGUGCUCCCAGACCACUGCUCUGAGGACAGGACACUUCCCCUCUGCCUCCUUUUGCUCUGAUUUGCCUUGCCUUCCCCAAGCCCUACUGCUAACUGCACUCUCACUGAUUAUUUUCUUUUCAGAGGCUGUAAACUUCAGUUCCUGCUCAGCUUGCAUUAGUGUCAGAGAAGUAUCUCUUGGCUGUUUACAGAAGAGAAAAUGGAAAGAUGAGCAUUAUUUCAUGUGAAAUAUGGUAGAGAGCCUAUGCUGAGUUUCUCUGUGAGGCCUGAGGCUCCAGCUACCUGAAGAAGCUGGUGAAAGCAUCCGUCAUCUGGUGAUUCAUCUCCCCUUGCCAUGGCUCUGGCCCUGCUCUGCGUGGGUGUCUCACAGCUCUCAUCAACUCUGGUUUUGAUGCAGACCAGGAGCUGCUGGGCUGUUCGCCCAAGUUUAUCUUGUAUGAAAGAGUUUGCUUGCUUUUCAAUUGUCUGGUGUUC